UACGUAGGGUGCGAGCGUUAAUCGGAAUUACUGGGCGUAAAGCGUGCGCAGGCGGUUUUGUAGGCCAGAUGUGAAAGCCCCGGGCUUAACCUGGGAAUGGCAUUUGGGACUGCAAGGCUGGAGUGUGGCAGAGGAGACUGGAAUUCCUGGUGUAGCAGUGAAAUGCGUAGAUAUCAGGAGGAAUACCGAUGGCGAAGGCAGGUCUCUGGGCUGACACUGACGCUCAUGCACGAAAGCGUGGGGAGCAAGACGG
rnacentral:rRNA from 1 species